GGGUUGUGAGGUUAAGCGACUAAGCGUACACGGUGGAUGCCCUGGCAGUCAGAGGCGAUGAAGGACGUGCUAAUCUGCGAUAAGCGUCGGUAAGGUGAUAUGAACCGUUAUAACCGGCGAUUUCCGAAUGGGGAAACCCAGUGUGUUUCGACACACUAUCAUUAACUGA
rnacentral:rRNA from 1 species